rnacentral:rRNA from 1 species
AGAGUUUGAUCCUGGCUCAGAACGAACGCUGGCGGCGCGCCUAAUACAUGCAAGUCGAGCGAGAAGACGUAGCAAUACGUUUGUAAAGCGGCGAACGGGUGAGGAAUACAUGGGUAACCUACCCUCGAGUGGGGAAUAACUAGCCGAAAGGUUAGCUAAUACCGCAUACGACUCCUGGUCUGCGGAUCGGGAGGGAAAGCGAUACCGUGGGUAUCGCGCUCUUGGAUGGGCUCAUGUCCUAUCAGCUUGUUGGUGAGGUAACGGCUCACCAAGGCUUCGACGGGUAGCUGGUCUGAGAGGACGAUCAGCCACACUGGCACUGCGACACGGGCCAGACUCCUACGGGAGGCAGCAGUAAGGAAUAUUGCGCAAUGGGCGACAGCCUGACGCAGCGACGCCGCGUGGGGGAUGAAGGUCUUCGGAUUGUAAACCCCUUUCGGCAGGGAAGAUGGAAUGGGUAACCAUUCGGACGGUACCUGCAGAAGCAGCCACGGCUAACUUCGUGCCAGCAGCCGCGGUAAUACGAAGGUGGCAAGCGUUGUUCGGAUUUACUGGGCGUACAGGGAGCGUAGGCGGUUGGGUAAGCCCUCCGUGAAAUCUCCGGGCCUAACCCGGAAAGUGCGGAGGGGACUGCUCGGCUAGAGGAUGGGAGAGGAGCGCGGAAUUCCCGGUGUAGCGGUGAAAUGCGUAGAGAUCGGGAGGAAGGCCGGUGGCGAAGGCGGCGCUCUGGAACAUUUCUGACGCUGAGGCUCGAAAGCGUGGGGAGCAAACAGGAUUAGAUACCCUGGUAGUCCACGCCU